AUGGGGUGCUACAACCGUUAUGGUUGGUGCUACAACCGUGGUCGGCGAUUGCUUCAACCUGCCACGGCACCGUCCAAGCGGCCAAGGGCGGUUACCCUCGCCGGAGCUCAACGAACAGAGCACUGUCCGAGUGGGUGCUACAACCGUUAUGGAGGGGUGCUACAACCGUGUUUGACGAUUGCUUCAACCGACCACGGCACAGACCCGGCAGCCAUGGGCAGUACCCUGCCAGAGCUCGACGAACAUGGCCACAACAACGACGGACAAGGUUGCAACCCACGACGGCGAGGCAGGGAACAACUACGGCGAGGAGCUUCAACGGUGAUGACGGCGAGUUGCGACGGCUACGGCGGCGGCGACGAGCUCCGUGAUGCAGUUAGAGCGGUGGCCAGGGGAGGACGAUCUGACGGGGGCGGGGGAGGAUGA
rnacentral:rRNA from 1 species